GGAAGGGUGGCAGAGCGGUAAUGCACCGGACUCGAAAUCCGGCGAACGGUCGAAAGGUCGUGCGCGGGUUCAAAUCCCGUCCCUUCCU
rnacentral:tRNA from 1 species